CCUACGGGCGGCAGCAGUGAGGAAUAUUGGUCAAUGGGCGCGAGCCUGAACCAGCCAAGUAGCGUGAAGGAUGACUGCCCAACGGGUCGUAAACUUCUUUUAUAAAGGAAUAAAGUGAGGCACGCGUGCCUUUUUGUAUGUACUUUAUGAAUAAGCAUCGGCUAACUCCGUGCCAGCAGCCGCGGUAAUACGGAGGAUCCGAGCGUUAUCCGGAGUUAUUGGGUUUAAAGGGUGCGUAGACGGUUUGUUCAGUCAGUUGUGAAAGGUUGUGGCUCAACCGUAAACGUGCAAUUGAUACUGGCAGCCUUGAGUACGAGUGAGGUAGGAGGAAGUUGUGGUGUAGCGGUGAAAUGCGUAUAUAUCGGGAAGAACCCCGAUGGCGAAGGCAGCCUGCUGGACUGCAACUGACGUUGAGGCCCGAAAGCGUGGGGAGCAAACAGGAUUAGAUACCCGGGUAGUC
rnacentral:rRNA from 1 species